AAUAGAUACCCGGGUAGUCCUAGCCAUCAACGAUGGAUACUGGAUAUUCCUGCACUCAUGUGGGAGUGUCGAAGCCAACGCGUUAAGUAUCCCGCCUGGGGAGUACGGUCGCAAGAUUGAAACUCAAAGGAAUUGACGGGGGCCCGCACAAGCGGUGGAGCAUGUGGUUUAAUUCGACGCAACGCGAAGAACCUUACCUGGGCUUGAACUGUCGGUAUAGGGACCCGAAAGGGCGACGAUCCCGGGGCAACCGGGAAGCCGAUAGAGGUGCUGCAUGGCUGUCGUCAGCUCGUGUCGUGAGAUGUUGGGUUAAGUCCCGCAACGAGCGCAACCCUUGUCUUUAGUUGCCAGCGAGUCAUGUCGGGCACUCUAAGGAGACUGCCUCGGAUAACGAGGAGGAAGGUGGGGAUGACGUCAAGUCAGCAUGGCCUUUAUGUCCAGGGCUACACACGUGCUACAAUGGGCGCACAGAAGGACGCGAGACCGCGAGGUCAAGCCAACCCUUAAAACCGUUCUCAGUUCGGAUUGC
rnacentral:rRNA from 1 species